CACGUUAUUACAAAGGCUAUAACCGCAUGGCGUU
rnacentral:sRNA from 1 species